AUGUAGGGAUCAUGAAUAUUGAUAAGCGUCUUCUGACGCUCCGCCCACUUUUCUCUCUCUCUGUUGUCUUAAUGCGUUUUCUGUGAGCUGCCUCUUUGAAUUUAUGCCGAAAACACAUCAUUUUACAAGCUCCAGGAAUCGAGCCAGACAACCCACAUAUACCAGGCUAACAAUAAUCAACUACUGGGUAUGUUCAUAUUCAUUUUCAUGUUAUGUCAUUCUUAUUAUUGACACAAAUGGGAAUUUUCUGAUGGUCUUGUCCGUGGACAAAGUCUGAAAACUUUCUCCACGUGAUACGUUUCUCUGUGCACUGUACACGUAGCGCCACAGGGCAUGUAAGUUGCAUACAUUCUGCACUGCAUUGUUUGGAUUCGCAUGACCCUUGACCCCAGCUUAUCACUGUGGCGCGCGUACAUACGAUUCUCACGUUACAUGUAUAUCUUAGGGGCUCACAAAGCAAUAACAAUAAUCAUUUGGGUACUUUUUCAGAUGUAAUUUGUGGGUUAUUUAAUAUCAUAUCAUCCCCUUAUAUGUCAUUUAUAUUGUAUAAUUUUAACAUUGUAUUACAGAAGCUCUGUAGCCUCCCGCACCUGAGAUUUACAUUUGUAUAACUGCACAUAGACGAGGUGCUGGGUUUUUAAUUUGCUGCGAUUAAUUUGCUGGAACUAAUUCGCCAGGAUUAUCUUGCUGGGAUUAUUUACUGGAACUAGAAUAAAAGCUCAGUGAACAUCAA